rnacentral:lncRNA from 1 species
AGUGUAUUUUUCAUCUUCCUAUGAAAGUACCAGCACAUUUAAAACAUCACUUAUAACAGUAAAUCAAAAUCUCAGUGAUGCUUGUUGAAACUGGCUUUUAAGACAGAGAGUGAACAAAAAAGCCUUUUAAAGUAAGUUUUAGGGAAUAAAUAAAUUGUCUGAACACUGCCACGGACAAUCAGUUUUAACAGCAUAUGUUACUUGCUGUUUUUGGGAGCCUGCCAAAGAAAGAGAUCCAUCCAGAAAUUAUGAGGGGAAAAAAACUCACGAGACAAUGGAUAACAACACAUAACUUACAUACAUCUCUAGGUAUUCUAAAGCUUUUCAUUCAGCAUCCAGCAUCAUAAAAUCAGUGCUCCUGACCCAUCUUCAUUUUAAUUGAGAAAUACAUUUUUAAAAAAGCCUGGAAUUCCCUAUUGACAAACAGUAGAGUAACACAUGUAAGAUUUAUCCUACUGUGCAACUUUCCCAAGGAGCAUCAGAGAAUUAUUAAUGACAUAGGCAUCACUGAACCACUGAAUGAUGUAAGACCACCUAAGUUUUGCAGAUAGAGAAGAGCAGAGGCCAUAAACCAAAUCAGCAGGAAACCUUACAGCACAAUUAAUACCUCCUAAAAUAUAUUCCUAUUUUAGCUUCUAGGAAAUGUUUCACUGGAAGAUAAUAUUUAUUAGAGCAGCAGCUAUCUCCAUUUUUCAGAUUACUAUUUCUGACAGACACUGGCAAUCCUGGUUACCAAGGGUUCAGUUCACUGUUUAAUAAAGACCUUUUGUGAGACCAGCUUGAGCAGCACCUAUCUGAAUUCUUUUUAAAUAAAGCUGUGUCUGCCCUGACAAAGCCUGGUAUGUGCUGCUUUUCCGAAGUGAAAUGCCUUAGAGCGACCCUAAAUCCAGGCCUGGCCCCAAUGUGACGUGAUAUCACAGUGCCCACCUGGCCAGUUAGAACUCUUGCACUCUCCAGAGAGAUUUAUGGAUAUGAAACGAAGGAGUUUUGUAGCCCAUGAGCUCUGUCAUCUAGGACCGACAUGUAUUUACUGCUGCUUUCCAACACGGACACAGCCUGAGAGUGAGGAGAAGCAAGGAAGUAGCUGCUCCACCCACCAGGUCUCUCAGACAAUGCAGGGUGAAGAUCCAUUUGGGAAUCAAACUUUAGGAGGGACUGAAAGCAAACACAACUUCUGCUCAGUGAGCCAACAGCAGUGGUGCCGAGGGCAGCUGCAGGCUUGA